CUUAACGAUAAGUGCUAAUGUCGGAUUUCGGAUUCGGUGUCGCAAGCUACGCAUUAAGCACUCCGCCUGGGAGUACGNUGCCAGAUUAAACUCAAAGNAAUUGACGGGGGCCGGCNCAAGCGGUGAAGCAUGUGGUUUAAUUCGAAGCAACGCGCAGACCCUUACCAGCUCUUGACAUUGUACCAGCGGAUCAUGNAAACAUGGUUUUCACUUUCGGGUGGAUAUAACAGGUGCUGCAUGGCUGUCGUCAGCUCGUGUCGUGAGAUGUUGGGUUAAGUCCCGCAACGAGCGCAACCCUCAUCUUCAGUUACUAACGGGUAAUGCCGAGGACUCUGAAGAAACUGCCGGUGAUAAACCGGAGGAAGGUGGGGAUGACGUCAAGUCCUCAUGGCCCUUAUGGGCUGGGCUACACACGUGCUACAAUGGUGGUGACAAUGGGAAGCAAUAUCGCAAGAUGGAGCGAAUCCCCAAAAGCCACCUCAGUUCAGAUUGUCCUCUGCAACUCGAGGGCAUGAAGUCGGAAUCGCUAGUAAUCGUAGAUCAGCAUGCUACGGUGAAUACGUUCUCGGGCCUUGUACACACUGCCCGUCAAACCAUGGGAGUUGAUUUUACCCGAAGUCGGUCAGCUAACUCGCAAGAGAGGCAGCCGCCCACGGUAGGAUGAAUGACUGGGGUUAAGUCGUAACAAGGUAACC
rnacentral:rRNA from 1 species